rnacentral:rRNA from 1 species
GCACCCAAUGUUUUUCAAAAAACUAUGACGCGUUAAAUUUAGUCAGAGGGCGAUCAGUCACACUGGAACUGAGACACACCCCACACUUCCUAUCGGAGGGAGCAGUAGGGAAUAUUGUUUCAAAGGGGGGGAACCCUGAAAAAGCACAGCCGCGUGGAGGAUGACACUUUUUGGAGCGUAAACUCCUUUUCUCUGGGAACAGUUAUGUGGGUACCCAAGGAAUAAGCACCGGCUAACUCCGUGCCAGCACCCGCGGUAAUACGGAGGGUGCAAGCGUUACUCGGAAUCACUGGGCGUAAAGGACGCGUAGGCGGAUUAUCCAGUCCCCUGUGAAAUAUAACGGCUUAACCGUUAAAAUGCUUGGGAAAAAGAUAAUCUAGAGUAAGGGGGAGGCAGAUGGAGUUUUUGGUGUAGGGGUAAAAUCCGUAGAGAUCAAGAAGAAUACCCACAGCGAAAACGAUAUGCUGGAACUUAACUCUCGCUAAUGCGUGAAAGCGUGGGGAGCAAACAGG